rfam:Ovis aries breed Texel chromosome 7, whole genome shotgun sequence.
CUAUAGGUUUUUUUAAAAACUAUCCCCUAAAUAUAGAUUAUAUAUGU